rnacentral:rRNA from 1 species
AGAGUUUGAUCCUGGCUCAGGACGAACGCUGGCGGCGCGCCUAACACAUGCAAGUCGAACGAGCGAGAGAGAGCUUGCUUUCUCGAGCGAGUGGCGAACGGGUGAGUAACGCGUGAGGAACCUGCCUCAAAGAGGGGGACAACAGUUGGAAACGACUGCUAAUACCGCAUAAGCCCACGGCUCGGCAUCGAGCAGAGGGAAAAGGAGCAAUCCGCUUUGAGAUGGCCUCGCGUCCGAUUAGCUAGUUGGUGAGGUAAUGGCCCACCAAGGCAACGAUCGGUAGCCGGACUGAGAGGUUGAACGGCCACAUUGGGACUGAGACACGGCCCAGACUCCUACGGGAGGCAGCAGUGGGGAAUAUUGCACAAUGGGGGAAACCCUGAUGCAGCGACGCCGCGUGGAGGAAGAAGGUCUUCGGAUUGUAAACUCCUGUUGUUGAGGAAGAUAAUGACGGUACUCAACAAGGAAGUGACGGCUAACUACGUGCCAGCAGCCGCGGUAAAACGUAGGUCACAAGCGUUGUCCGGAAUUACUGGGUGUAAAGGGAGCGCAGGCGGGAAGACAAGUUGGAAGUGAAAUCUAUGGGCUCAACCCAUAAACUGCUUUCAAAACUGUUUUUCUUGAGUAGUGCAGAGGUAGGCGGAAUUCCCGGUGUAGCGGUGGAAUGCGUAGAUAUCGGGAGGAACACCAGUGGCGAAGGCGGCCUACUGGGCACCAACUGACGCUGAGGCUCGAAAGUGUGGGUAGCAAACAGGAUUAGAUACCCUGGUAGUCCACACCGUAAACGAUGAUUACUAGGUGUUGGAGGAUUGACCCCUUCAGUGCCGCAGUUAACACAAUAAGUAAUCCACCUGGGGAGUACGACCGCAAGGUUGAAACUCAAAGGAAUUGACGGGGGCCCGCACAAGCAGUGGAGUAUGUGGUUUAAUUCGACGCAACGCGAAGAACCUUACCAAGUCUUGACAUCCUGCGACGCACAUAGAAAUAUGUGUUUCCUUCGGGACGCAGAGACAGGUGGUGCAUGGUUGUCGUCAGCUCGUGUCGUGAGAUGUUGGGUUAAGUCCCGCAACGAGCGCAACCCUUACUGUCAGUUACUACGCAAGAGGACUCUGGCAGGACUGCCGUUGACAAAACGGAGGAAGGUGGGGAUGACGUCAAAUCAUCAUGCCCUUUAUGACUUGGGCUACACACGUACUACAAUGGCGUUAAACAAAGAGAAGCAAGACCGCGAGGUGGAGCAAAACUCAGAAACAACGUCCCAGUUCGGACUGCAGGCUGCAACUCGCCUGCACGAAGUCGGAAUUGCUAGUAAUCGUGGAUCAGCAUGCCACGGUGAAUACGUUCCCGGGCCUUGCACACACCGCCCGUCA